CACACACACCCCUCUCAUUGCUAUGGCAGUGUGUGUGGGCUUGGAUAAGGUGUACCCUCCCUGUGAAGAUGCAGAAGAAGCAGAGAGACCACUGAAACCCUGCAGGAGUCCGCUGGAUGCUGGGGCAACCACUUCAAGGGGGUACAGGACCAUGAGAGGAAGAUGCCUCGAGACAGCCUGAUCAGCUCUGACAAUGACAUUGAAAUUGGACUGGAAUUUACAGGUGACGAGGACGAAGUUUCCACCUGUCAAGAGGAACACGAGAGGGAACAGCGCAGAGGAAAACGAAGGGAUGGUGAUAGAGAGAGAAAGAAGAGGAGAAACAGGAGAAAA